GACGAACGCUGGCGGCGUGCUUAACACAUGCAAGUCGAACGGAAAGGCCCUGCUUUUGUGGGGUGCUCGAGUGGCGAACGGGUGAGUAACACGUGAGUAACCUGCCCUUGACUUUGGGAUAACUUCAGGAAACGGGGGCUAAUACCGGAUAGGAGCUCCUGCUGCAUGGUGGGGGUUGGAAAGUUUCGGCGGUUGGGGAUGGACUCGCGGCUUAUCAGCUUGUUGGUGGGGUAGUGGCUUACCAAGGCUUUGACGGGUAGCCGGCCUGAGAGGGUGACCGGCCACAUUGGGACUGAGAUACGGCCCAGACUCCUACGGGAGGCAGCAGUGGGGAAUAUUGCACAAUGGGCGGAAGCCUGAUGCAGCAACGCCGCGUGCGGGAUGACGGCCUUCGGGUUGUAAACCGCUUUCGCCUGUGACGAAGCGUGAGUGACGGUAAUGGGUAAAGAAGCACCGGCUAACUACGUGCCAGCAGCCGCGGUGAUACGUAGGGUGCGAGCGUUGUCCGGAUUUAUUGGGCGUAAAGGGCUCGUAGGUGGUUGAUCGCGUCGGAAGUGUAAUCUUGGGGCUUAACCCUGAGCGUGCUUUCGAUACGGGUUGACUUGAGGAAGGUAGGGGAGAAUGGAAUUCCUGGUGGAGCGGUGGAAUGCGCAGAUAUCAGGAGGAACACCAGUGGCGAAGGCGGUUCUCUGGGCCUUUCCUGACGCUGAGGAGCGAAAGCGUGGGGAGCGAACAGGCAUAGAUACCCUGGUAGUCCACGCUGUAAACGGUGGGUACUAGGUGUGGGGUCCAUUCCACGGGUUCCGUGCCGUAGCUAACGCUUUAAGUACCCCGCCUGGGGAGUACGGCCGCAAGGCUAAAACUCAAAGGAAUUGACGGGGCCCCGCACAAGCGGCGGAGCAUGCGGAUUAAUUCGAUGCAACGCGUAGAACCUUACCUGGGUUUGACAUGGAUCGGGAGCGCUCAGAGAUGGGUGUGCCUCUUUUGGGGUCGGUUCACAGGUGGUGCAUGGCUGUCGUCAGCUCGUGUCGUGAGAUGUUGGGUUAAGUCCCGCAACGAGCGCAACCCUUGUUCACUGUUGCCAGCACGUUAUGGUGGGGACUCAGUGGAGACCGCCGGGGUCAACUCGGAGGAAGGUGGGGAUGACGUCAAGUCAUCAUGCCCCUUAUGUCCAGGGCUUCACGCAUGCUACAAUGGCUGGUACAGAGAGUGGCGAGCCUGUGAGGGUGAGCGAAUCUCGGAAAGCCGGUCUCAGUUCGGAUUGGGGUCUGCAACUCGACCUCAUGAAGUCGGAGUCGCUAGUAAUCGCAGAUCAGCAACGCUGCGGUGAAUACGUUCCCGGGGCU
rnacentral:rRNA from 1 species